rnacentral:rRNA from 1 species
GGAAUAUUGGACAAUGGGCGAAAGCCUGAUCCAGCCAUGCCGCGUGAGUGAAGAAGGCCUUAGGGUUGUAAAGCUCUUUCAGUCGGGAAGAAACGGGUCGCUCUAAUAUGGCGAUCUAAUGACGGUGCCGACAGAAGAAGCACCGGCUAACUACGUGCCAGCAGCCGCGGUAAUACGUAGGGUGCGAGCGUUAAUCGGAAUUACUGGGCGUAAAGCGUGCGCAGGCGGUUGUGUAAGACAGGUGUGAAAUCCCCGGGCUUAACCUGGGAACUGCGCUUGUGACUGCACGGCUAGAGUACGGCAGAGGGGGGUGGAAUUCCACGUGUAGCAGUGAAAUGCGUAGAUAUGUGGAGGAACACCGAUGGCGAAGGCAGCCCCCUGGGCCGAUACUGACGCUCAUGCACGAAAGCGUGGGGAGCAAAC